CCUACGGGUGGCUGCAGUCGAGAAUCUUCGGCAAUGGGCGCAAGCCUGACCGAGCGACGCCGCGUGCGGGAUGAAGGCCCUCGGGUUGUAAACCGCUGUCGAGGGGGAUGCAGAUCCCUGGAGGAAGGGUGGGCUAAGUUCGUGCCAGCAGCCGCGGUAAGACGAACCACCCAAACGUUAUUCGGAAUCACUGGGCUUAAAGCGUGCGUAGGCGGCCUUGAAAGUUAGGUGUGAAAUCCCACAGCUCAACUGUGGAACUGCGCUUAAAACUACAAGGCUAGAGGGAUAUAGAGGUGAGCAGAACAGAUGGUGGAGCGGUGAAAUGCGUUGAUAUCAUCUGGAAUACCGGAGGCGAAGGCGGCUCACUGGUACUUCUGACGCUGAGGUACGAAAGCUAGGGGAGCGAACGGGAUUAGAUACCCCAGUAGUC
rnacentral:rRNA from 1 species